GUUGUUGGCACUCCCGCGGGGCUGCCAUCCUAGGAUUGUCUGCUCCAAAGCCUCAACGUGCUGUGCCGCGAUGAACUGGUUUCUGUUUCUAAGCCAGAGCACACCCCAAGGAGACAGUCCACAGGUGUUCAUCCAUUCCCAUUCAUUCAUUCAGGAGCGGAGGGUGCUGCGGUGAACAGUGCGGUCAAGGUCCCUGCCUUCAGGAAGCUUCCUUCCUGGUGAGAGAAACAAAAUGGAAAUCACUUCAGAGUGCUCUGGGCAGUAAGGUGACUCGCAAGGAUGACAAUCAGCAGUGCGGUCAGGAAAGCCACUCUGCGGACCGACCGAUGCUGGAGCGACUCGGGAUAUGGCCCAAGAAUGGCAGUGUGGCCUGUUAAAGAGUUAUGAAGCUUCAGGCCUGAGGCAGCAUCAUGUAUGUAUUAAAGAAGUGAUCCCUUUGUGUAUAAAGAUAUGUUGUGUAACGACCUCACAACUUCAAGUCUUUCUGAUGAAAGUGAGGUUAAGUUACCCCAUCGUCAUCCAAGAUUUUUGUUUCCUUUUUUUUAUUUUUCCUCCUAAAGGAUUUUCUUCAAGUAUUGCUUUGUUUUUCCAAUUUGUCUAUCGUGAAUCUUACCAAGCAAUACACUCCUCUCGGUUUGGAAAAUAUCGUGUGAUAUGUUUUAUGAUUAUAAAAGUUUGACUAUGGUGGAGAUUUUGAAAAAUACAGAAAAGAAGAAAAAUGUUUUCACCACUCAGAAAUAAACACCGUUGAUGUUUUGGGGGGACCUCUAGUCCUGGGAGUUCUUAACCUGGGCUCCAUGGAUAAAGAAUAGAGUUUCAUCUUUGGUUUCAUUAACUUCUAAAUAAAAUUUAACAUUUCUUUUUA